UCCCUAGUAGCUCAGUUGGUAAAGAAUCUGCCUGCAAUGCAGGAGAACCUGGUUCAAUUCCUGGGUAGGGAA
rnacentral:tRNA from 1 species